UGUAAUCCGAAUGGAUUAAUUGCUUCCUGCACUUCGAUCGUUAGGAGGGGGAAAUGCGAUCUAGGGACUUCGUGAGGUCAAAACCGAAGGCUAAGAAUUAGGACAAUCUUACAUUUAAUCUGAGGAUUCUUGACUGUGACUCGUUCACUUUGAUCUGGAUUGUGGAAGAGGCAGGAGUUGUCCGAUUUAGUUUCGCGUCGUGAGGUGAUCUUACAGUUAUAGCAAAGACAGUCGUUAACUAGUUCCUAGUUUAGCUAAAAACUGUGCUGGUUGAGGAAAGUGUGCGAGUGUGGAGCGACAAUCAGAAUCGUGGCCGGUGUGCUGAAAGCCCGUCACCUCACCC